rnacentral:rRNA from 1 species
GCUCUGUGGGAUCAGUGGCGAACGGGUGAGUAACACGUGAGCAACCUGCCCCUGACUCUGGGAUAAGCGCUGGAAACGGCGUCUAAUACUGGAUACGAACCACGAAGGCAUCUUCAGUGGUUGGAAAGAAUUUCGGUUGGGGAUGGGCUCGCGGCCUAUCAGCUUGUUGGUGAGGUAAUGGCUCACCAAGGCGUCGACGGGUAGCCGGCCUGAGAGGGUGACCGGCCACACUGGGACUGAGACACGGCCCAGACUCCUACGGGAGGCAGCAGUGGGGAAUAUUGCACAAUGGGCGAAAGCCUGAUGCAGCAACGCCGCGUGAGGGAUGACGGCCUUCGGGUUGUAAACCUCUUUUAGCAGGGAAGAAGCGAAAGUGACGGUACCUGCAGAAAAAGCGCCGGCUAACUACGUGCCAGCAGCCGCGGUAAUACGUAGGGCGCAAGCGUUAUCCGGAAUUAUUGGGCGUAAAGAGCUCGUAGGCGGUUUGUCGCGUCUGCUGUGAAAUCCGGAGGCUCAACCUCCGGCCUGCAGUGGGUACGGGCAGACUAGAGUGCGGUAGGGGAGAUUGGAAUUCCUGGUGUAGCGGUGGAAUGCGCAGAUAUCAGGAGGAACACCGAUGGCGAAGGCAGAUCUCUGGGCCGUAACUGACGCUGAGGAGCGAAAGGGUGGGGAGCAAACAGGCUUAGAUACCCUGGUAGUCCACCCCGUAAACGUUGGGAACUAGUUGUGG